rnacentral:rRNA from 1 species
UACGUAGGUGGCAAGCGUUGUCCGGAUUUACUGGGUGUAAAGGGGGCGCAGACGGCGAUGCAAGCCAGGAGUGAAAGCCCGGGGCCCAACCCCGGGACUGCUCUUGGAACUGCGUGGCUGGAGUGCAGGAGGGGCAGGCGGAAUUCCUGGUGUAGCGGUGAAAUGCGUAGAUAUCAGGAGGAACACCGGUGGCGAAGGCGGCCUGCUGGACUGCAACUGACGUUGAGGCCCGAAAGCGUGGGGAGCAAACAGG